AUUCAAUUAGUUUAAUAAAAANUAUUAAAUUGUGAUUUUAAAGAUAAAANAAAAAUUUAUUGGAUA
rnacentral:tRNA from 1 species